AGCAGCCGCGGUAAUUCCAGCUCCAAUAGCGUAUAUUAAAGUUGUUGCAGUUAAAAAGCUCGUAGUUGAAUUUCGGGACCAUCAUGUCGGUCGUGCCUCGGUACGUACUGGCAUUGUUGGUUUCUCCCUUCUGACGAACCAUGAUGUCAUUUAUUUGGUGUUGUGGGGAAUCAGGACUGUUACUUUGAAAAAUUAGAGUGUUUAAAGCAGGCUCACGCUUGAAUACAUUAGCAUGGAAUAAUGAAAUAGGACGUUUGAUUCUAUUUUGUUGGUUUCUAGGAUCGACGUAAUGAUUAAUAGGGAUAGUUGGGGGCAUUAGUAUUCAAUUGUCAGAGGUGAAAUUCUUGGAUUUAUUGAAGACUAACUACUGCGAAAGCAUUUGCCAAGGAUGUUUUCAUUAAUCAAGAACGAAAGUUAGGGGAUCGAAGACGAUCAGAUACCGUCGUAGUC
rnacentral:rRNA from 1 species